GACGAACGCUGGCGGCGUGCCUAAUACAUGCAAGUCGAACGCUGAAGAGAGGAGCUUGCUCUUCUUGGAUGAGUUGCGAACGGGUGAGUAACGCGUAGGUAACCUGCCUUGUAGCGGGGGAUAACUAUUGGAAACGAUAGCUAAUACCGCAUAACAAUGGAUGACCCAUGUCAUUUAUUUGAAAGGGGCAAAUGCUCCACUACAAGAUGGACCUGCGUUGUAUUAGCUAGUAGGUGAGGUAACGGCUCACCUAGGCGACGAUACAUAGCCGACCUGAGAGGGUGAUCGGCCACACUGGGACUGAGACACGGCCCAGACUCCUACGGGAGGCAGCAGUAGGGAAUCUUCGGCAAUGGGGGCAACCCUGACCGAGCAACGCCGCGUGAGUGAAGAAGGUUGUCGGAUCGUAAAGCUCUGUUGUAAGUCAAGAACGAGUGUGAGAGUGGAAAGUUCACACUGUGACGGUAGCUUACCAGAAAGGGACGGCUAACUACGUG
rnacentral:rRNA from 1 species